rnacentral:rRNA from 1 species
AUGCGCCAGCUAAGGCUCGUAACCAACAUGAGGGCGCAUAACGACCCGUGGUUCGCAAAUUACUUGCUACGAGUAGGUAAUGGGACCGAGGAAACUGACGAGGAAGGCAACAUAAGGCUCCACGAAGAUAUUUGUGUGCCGCCAACAGGAGACGGCGCUGACCUAGAGAAGCUAAUCGACCAUGUAUUUCCUGCUCUGGACGACAACAUGGCUGAUCCAAAUUACAUGACAUCUCGAGCAAUCCUCUCCACCAAGAAUGACAACGUUUAUAAGAUAAAUACGCGCAUGAUAGAG